UCGAGCCUUCGCGCCCUGGGCGAGGUGGGUAGGGGAACUCUCGUGGCGGGGUGAGGCGCCCGCCCUCGCGCCGCUUGGCGGUUUCUCCGAGUACUUCGUUUGUGGAGGAAGUGGAGAUACAACGUGGCGGAUGAAGGACUUGACAGUGAAAAUAGUCCCCAAUCAGGUCUUUAGAGUUCCUUUGACUGAUGCUCAGAACUUCAGCUUCUGGCGGUCCCAUGAUCCAGGAGUGCGCCCAGAGGAAACCAUGCCAUGGAUCCGGAGCUCUCGCCAUUGCCUCAUUAAGAGCCCAAUGACCAGGUUUAUGGAUCACUCUACUCUCAGUGACAGAACCUUCAGUCUGUAUUGAGCAAGAUGUGUUUGCAGAAGGACAAGUUGGACUGUGGAAGGAGGGCAAAGAAUGGAAAGAGGAAGGUGUCCUGGUCCUCAUGGUCCACUAAAGGGGGGAGAGGAUAGAGAAAGCAGAAUAAACAGAUUGGAUUGGAAGUAA